UUCCCCUUGGCCCUGUUAGAUAUGGAGCUGGUUCCUGAGGCUACUUCGAGUUCCCCAAACCGCUUCGAGUGGCAGCACAGCUAAUUGAGGAAUGCGGAAGCAGGAAAGCGCAUUCCAGAGAAGCGGCCGAGCAAACAAGUUUAAGGCAACAAGUUCGUGCGUCGCCGGGAUUAGAAGGGGGCCUGGGACAAUGGAGCGCAAUCGACCCCCUUCGUCUUUGAAGAAGGCUGUUGCCACCGCUGCGGAGCCGAGUCGCCGGGAUUUGCAGGUGGGCGUCGGACAAUGGAGCAGGUGCAGCCCCCCUCCUUCUCCGGCCUAGAAGUGAUUGCCAGUCUGCGUGGCAAGACCGCAGAGAGCCCCGACAGGUGUGCCCCGCGACACGGGCGCCUACCAUUGGUUGCAAGUGGCGUCAUCGGAGUGGACUCUCCCAUUGGUCAAACAUGACGUGACUUGCAGUGCUCGAAGGGUUUAUAAGAAGCCUUCCAGAGAGACCUGAGAUUCUGGGACAUGCCCUGAUUCCCUGAUUCACCUCUCUCGAACUUCUUGCCGCGGGCCGCAGCGUCCGAGUUGCUGCCGGCCCGUAAUGACAGUACGUCUGUUAAUUGACGCUCACCUCCUUGUAUAAUAUGUAAAUAAAACCCUCCCAAGUUUUGGGUUUUUCAUCCGCGAAGACCGUCCUUCAACCCCUACAUCUGGUUGGCAGCGGUAGGAUCGCCUCCGAAUGCAUCUGCUGGUGGCAGCGCUACGGAUAAACCUUCGUCAAGAGAGAUCCUAAGGAACCGGGAAGAGCGAAGAAGAGAGAGCCUUCGUCGAAAGAGGUCCGAAGAGACUGGGAGUAUCGAAGAAGGAGCGAGCCUUCGACCCAGGGAGUCCGGAAGGGACCGGCAACAGCGGACGAGCGAACCGGAUGGCAGGGUGCUGCAACCGGUCCAGGAUCCCGAGGGUUGUCAAACGAGGCUCGACCCCAGUACCCUGCAGCUUCUUUCAGCGUUCCUCCUGGCCAGCGAAUUGAGUUCACCGGCCAUUCAGAACAACCGGGGCGAGGACGAGCUGUUAGAUAUGGAGCUGGUUCCUGAGGCUACUUCGAGUUCCCCAAACCGCUUCGAGUGGCAGCACAGCUAAUUGAGGAAUGCGGAAGCAGGAAAGCGCAUUCCAGAGAAGCGGCCGAGCAAACAAGUUUAAGGCAACAAGUUCGUGCGUCGCCGGGAUUAGAAGGGGGCCUGGGACAAUGGAGCGCAAUCGACCCCCUUCGUCUUUGAAGAAGGCUGUUGCCACCGCUGCGGAGCCGAGUCGCCGGGAUUUGCAGGUGGGCGUCGGACAAUGGAGCAGGUGCAGCCCCCCUCCUUCUCCGGCCUAGAAGUGAUUGCCAGUCUGCGUGGCAAGACCGCAGAGAGCCCCGACAGGUGUGCCCCGCGACACGGGCGCCUACCAUUGGUUGCAAGUGGCGUCAUCGGAGUGGACUCUCCCAUUGGUCAAACAUGACGUGACUUGCAGUGCUCGAAGGGUUUAUAAGAAGCCUUCCAGAGAGACCUGAGAUUCUGGGACAUGCCCUGAUUCCCUGAUUCACCUCUCUCGAACUUCUUGCCGCGGGCCGCAGCGUCCGAGUUGCUGCCGGCCCGUAAUGACAGUACGUCUGUUAAUUGACGCUCACCUCCUUGUAUAAUAUGUAAAUAAAACCCUCCCAAGUUUUGGGUUUUUCAUCCGCGAA